rnacentral:rRNA from 1 species
UAACGGGGUGCUAAUACCGCAUGACAUCUCCGGAUUGCAUGAUCUGGAGAUCAAAGGUGGCCUCUGCUUGCAAGCUACCCCCUGAAGAUGAUCCCGCGUCCGAUUAGCUUGUUGGUGAGGUAACGGCUCACCAAGGCGACGAUCGGUAGCUGGUCUGAGAGGAUGGUCAGCCACACUGGGACUGAGAUACGGCCCAGACUCCUACGGGAGGCAGCAGUCGAGAGGCUUCGGCAAUGGGGGAAACCCUGACCGAGCGACGCCGCGUGAGGGAUGAAGCCCUUCGGGGUGUAAACUUCUUUUCUAGGGGAAGAACCACAUGGGGUCCAAUAGGCCUCGUGUCUGACGGUACUUUAGGAAUAAGCUCCGGCUAACUCCGUGCCAGCAGCCGCGGUAAUACGGGGGGAGCAAACGUUGUUCGGAAUCACUGGGCGUAAAGGGCGCGUAGGCGGCCUCGCGAGUGGUGUGUGAAAUGCCCUGGCUCAACCAGGGAACUGCGCACCAAACUGCGGAGCUUGAGGUCAGUAGAGGAAGCUGGAAUUCCUGGUGUAGCGGUGAAAUGCGUAGAUAUCAGGAGGAACACCGUUGGCGAAGGCGAGCUUCUGGGCUGAUCCUGACGCUGAGGCGCGAAAGCUGGGGGAGCAAACAGGAUUAGAUACCCUGGUAGUCCCAGCCGUAAACGGUGAACACUAGGUGUGGGGGGCGUCGA